GGCCCAAUCUCAACCACAUACUCUGGACAAUCUCAAAUGCACCCCAGGUUGGCGGUCUCUGCUAUAAUUUCCUUGAAGGCCAAGGCCUGUGUGGACUAGUUUACAACACACAUCCUCGUGUGGAAUCCUUGAAAUAGAAACUUGGGAGGAAAUUCAGAGCUACUUACAGAAUCGUCGUAAUGCGCCUUCUCUUUCCAUUUCCCUUUAGAUCUGUCUUGGGCUGAGCAGUUGGGGUGCAAGUUCUGGGUGUGUUCCCCUCUUUUGUACCCUCCUCGAGCGUUUCUCUUAGAUCCCGCUGUCACGGAGAGCUCUCCAUUGUGUGUAGG
rnacentral:lncRNA from 1 species